rnacentral:rRNA from 1 species
CGCCUUUUGACAAAAUAUAGAAGGUCCAGCCUGCCCAGUGACAAAGUUAAACGGCCGCGGUACCCUAACCGUGCGAAGGUAGCGCAAUCAUUUGUUCUUUAAAUAAGGACUAGUAUGAACGGCAUCACGAGGAUUAUACUGUCUCCCCCCUUUAAUCAGUGAAACUGAUCUCCCCGUGAAGAAGCGGGGAUAAACUUACAAGACGAGAAGACCCUGUGGAGCUUCAAACUCUCACCACUUACCUCAAAACACGUCAUAACAAACAGGUAAGCUUGUGUACCAGUUUUAGGUUGGGGCGACCGCGGAGCAAAACUAAACCUCCACGAUGAAGAGAUUCUACUUUUCUAAUCCAAGAGCAACACCUCAAAGAAUCAACAAACUGACACAUUGACCCAAAUACUUUGAUCAACGAACCAAGUUACCCCAGGGAUAACAGCGCAAUCCAUUUCAAGAGCUCCUAUCGACAAAUGGGUUUACGACCUCGAUGUUGGAUCAGGGUAUCCCAGUGGUGCAGCCACUACUAAAGGUUCGUUUGUUCAACGAUUAAAACCCU